AAAAAAAAAAAAAAAAAAUCAGAGUGGGUUUGGUAGCUGGAAAUGGAUCAUAUAAUUUUGAAAGAGAGAGAUCUUGAGGUUGAUCUUGAAAAUGGGGUGAAUGCUAGUGUUGACGAUCAAAGUAAAGACUCCAUAUCUGGUGUAAAAAUUCAAGUGAAGGAGUUGCUUGCUAAGAUUCGUGGCAUCUUUGUUGAUGGUACAAUGAAGGGUGAAGAGGGGUUAAAUUACUGUUCUGAUGCACCAGAGCAAGUGAACUUGGAUGGAGAGAAAACUGUUGGUAACGUAGAGAAGAAAGUGGUAAAGGAGAAGCAUAAAAUGAUGAGCAAUAAAAAGGCUUCCAAACCUCCUAGGCCUCCAAGAGGUCCAUCAUUGGAUGCUGCUGACCAGCAGCUGAUCAAGGAGAUUACAGAACUUGCAAUGUUGAAACGUGCAAGGGUUGAGCGAAUCAGAGCCUUGAAGAAAAUGAAAGCAGCAAAGGCAUCAUCAUCAUCUAAUAGCUAUGUGUUUGCAAUGGUGUUCACAAUCCUCUUCUGUUUAGUGAUAAUCUUUCAAGGUAAUGCUUAUGUGCAGGUCUUCUUUUUAUUCUAGUACACUAUAUUACUAUCUUCCUUCCCUCCCCCCACAUUUCUAUCUUGUUUUAAUUGUUUGGACCUUCUUAGUUUCCUUGCGAUUUUCCAGAAUAAGAUGUUCAAAUUCCAACUCUGAGUCUCUCUGUCUCUCUCUCUGUAAGUUUGUUUUUUGGUGCAUUCCUUUUAAUAAUUCUUGAUGAUCAUUUGAUUUGGCCUCCAAUCAAAAUUUCAAAUAACUUUUGCAAAGCAAGUUCCUUUGAAUCUUUGUUUCCUAGCUCUAAUCCUCAACUGGAUCUUUGUUCUUUAAAGGAUAUAUAUAUAUAUAUUAUAACUUUUCUUCAUAUAUUCUUGGAAUUUGCUUUUGCAGGAAUGUCAUCAAGGGUUACUUCUGUAAACAUGCAGAGAUCUCCUUUAUCAGCAGAAACGGCAGAGAGUGGUUUGAUUGCGGUGCAGUACUUUGGGAAUCCAUCUGCAAGUGACCCAAAUGGACCUCCUUCUGAAUCUCCCAAUUCUAUAAAGCCAAUAGCUGGUUUUGAUCCGCUUGAAAAUCCAAGAAGAGCCGUGGGAUAAAGCGGAGAAAAUCAUGAUGUUAUAGCCAAGCUUACAUUUGAGAGAUAUUACUAGUCCCUGUGGCUCAUGCAAGCAUUAUAUGACUUGCACUUUUUGUACCAAUAGUCCUCUGAAAUUGAAGUUUGGUGGGUAAUUUAUUUCCUCUAUGUACACUUUUUUAACUGGGGAGUGAGUUAAAUUACCAAACUGAGUUUCUUAAUGGAUUGUAAGGAAAAUUAGUGCCAUGUUUAAUAGGCCAUGCUACUUUUGUGCUGAUAAGUUACCUCCUCUGCAACUAAGCCAGCCAAAUUAUACAAUGCAUGGUCAUGUAAGUUGCUCCGAAAAUGAAAUUCAGAAUCGAGUUAUUUGCCAAGAAAU
rnacentral:misc_RNA from 1 species